GCAGUGGUUGUUCAGUGGUCGAAUUCUCGCUUUCCUUGAGGGAGACCUGGGUUUGAUUCCCAGUCAAUGCA
rnacentral:tRNA from 1 species